rnacentral:rRNA from 1 species
UACGAAGGGUGCAAGCGUUAAUCGGAAUUACUGGGCGUAAAGGGUGCGUAGGCGGUUUGUUAAGUUUGAUGUGAAAGCCCUGGGCUCAACCUGGGAAUGGCAUCGAAGACUGGCAGACUGGAGUGCGGUAGAGGAUGGUGGAAUUCCCGGUGUAGCGGUGAAAUGCGUAGAGAUCGGGAGGAACACCAGUGGCGAAGGCGGCCAUCUGGACCAGCACUGACGCUGAGGCACGAAAGCGUGGGGAGCAAACAGG